rnacentral:rRNA from 1 species
UACGUAGGGGGCUAGCGUUGUCCGGAUUUAUUGGGCGUAAAGAGCGUGUAGGCGGCCAGGUAGGUCUGGUGUGAAAACUCGAGGCUUAACCUCGAGAUGUCAUCGGAAACCAUCUGGCUAGAGUCCGGGAGAGGAGAGUGGAAUUCCUGGUGUAGCGGUGAAAUGCGCAGAUAUCAGGAAGAACACCCGUGGCGAAAGCGGCUCUCUGGGCCGAUACUGACGCUGAGGAGCGAAAGCGUGGGGAGCGAACAGG